CCUACGGGAGGCAGCAGUGGGGAAUUUUGGACAAUGGGCGCAAGCCUGAUCCAGCAAUGCCGCGUGAGUGAAGAAGGCCUUCGGGUUGUAAAGCUCUUUUGUCAGGGAAGAAACGGUGGAGGCUAAUAUCCUUUGCUAAUGACGGUACCUAAAGAAUAAGCACCGGCUAACUACGUGCCAGCAGCCGCGGUAAUACGUAGGGUGCAAGCGUUAAUCGGAAUUACUGGGCGUAAAGCGUGCGCAGGCGGUUUUGUAAGUUUGUCGUGAAAUCCCCGGGCUCAACCUGGGAAUGGCGAUGAAGACUGCAAGGCUAGAAUCUGGCAGAGGGGGGUAGAAUUCCACGUGUAGCAGUGAAAUGCGUAGAGAUGUGGAGGAACACCGAUGGCGAAGGCAGCCCCCUGGGUCAAGAUUGACGCUCAUGCACGAAAGCGUGGGGAGCAAACAGGAUUAGAUACCCUGGUAGUCCACGCCCUAAACGAUGUCUACUAGUUGUCGGGUUUUAAUAACUUGGUAACGCAGCUAACGCGUGAAGUAGACCGCCUGGGGAGUACGGUCGCAAGNUUAAAACGUCAAAGGAUUGACGGCUUGAGNGNGCGAGCGACGACGAGGAGAGG
rnacentral:rRNA from 1 species